rnacentral:rRNA from 2 species
AGCCCUUCGGGGUGGAUUAGUGGCGAACGGGUGAGUAACACGUGGGCAAUCUGCCCUUCACUCUGGGACAAGCCCUGGAAACGGGGUCUAAUACCGGAUAACACUCCCUCUCUCAUGGGUGGGGGUUAAAAGCUCCGGCGGUGAAGGAUGAGCCCGCGGCCUAUCAGCUUGUUGGUGAGGUAAUGGCUCACCAAGGCGACGACGGGUAGCCGGCCUGAGAGGGCGACCGGCCACACUGGGACUGAGACACGGCCCAGACUCCUACGGGAGGCAGCAGUGGGGAAUAUUGCACAAUGGGCGAAAGCCUGAUGCAGCGACGCCGCGUGAGGGAUGACGGCCUUCGGGUUGUAAACCUCUUUCAGCAGGGAAGAAGCGAAAGUGACGGUACCUGCAGAAGAAGCGCCGGCUAACUACGUGCCAGCAGCCGCGGUAAUACGUAGGGCGCAAGCGUUGUCCGGAAUUAUUGGGCGUAAAGAGCUCGUAGGCGGCUUGUCACGUCGGGUGUGAAAGCCCGGGGCUUAACCCCGGGUCUGCAUUCGAUACGGGCUAGCUAGAGUGUGGUAGGGGAGAUCGGAAUUCCUGGUGUAGCGGUGAAAUGCGCAGAUAUCAGGAGGAACACCGGUGGCGAAGGCGGAUCUCUGGGCCAUUACUGACGCUGAGGAGCGAAAGCGUGGGGAGCGAACAGGAUUAGAUACCCUGGUAGUCCACGCCGUAAACGGUGGGAACUAGGUGUUGGCGACAUUCCACGUCGUCGGUGCCGCAGCUAACGCAUUAAGUUCCCCGCCUGGGGAGUACGGCCGCAAG